AGAGCUCACCAUGGGCUGGGCUCUGUUUUCUCUUGCAGUUCUCAGUUACUCCUCAGGUGUCAUUUCCCAGGCGACAUUGACUCAGCCUGCCUUCGUGUCCGUGUCCCUAGGAGAAACGGCUGUACUCUCCUGCUUGAUCAGUGGUAAUGCUGGCAGCAUUUCUUGGUAUCAACUGAGGCCUGGUCAGGCCCCUCGUUUUGUGCUUCAUGGUACCAGCACCCGGGGAGAAGGGAUCCCCGAUCGGUUCACCGGCUCCGCUGCUGGGAACAUUGGCUAUUUAAUCAUCACCAACAUCCAGGCUGAAGAUGAAGCAGAUUAUUACUGUGGCACAGUCACCUACUCUGAUUUCACAAUGAUGAAUUGUGAUUAUACAGAACUGUCACGCAACCCUUCAUUCUUGGAAGAGGGGGAAUGCAGAGCUUAA